AGCGAACGCUGGCGGCAGGCCUAACACAUGCAAGUCGAACGAAGUCUUCGGACUUAGUGGCGGACGGGUGAGCAACACGUGGGAACGUGCCUUUAGGUUCGGAAUAACUCAGGGAAACUUGUGCUAAUACCGAAUGUGCCCUUCGGGGGAAAGAUUUAUCGCCUUUAGAGCGGCCCGCGUCUGAUUAGCUAGUUGGUGAGGUAAAGGCUCACCAAGGCUACGAUCAGUAGCUGGUCUGAGAGGAUGACCAGCCACAUUGGGACUGAGACACGGCCCAAACUCCUACGGGAGGCAGCAGUGGGGAAUCUAGCGCAAUGGGCGAAAGCCUGACGCAGCCAUGCCGCGUGGAUGAUGAAGGUCUUAGGAUUGUAAAAUCCUUUCACCGGUGAAGAUAAUGACUGUAGCCGGGGAAGAAGCCCCGGCUAACUUCGUGCCAGCAGCCGCGGUAAGAC
rnacentral:rRNA from 1 species